GACGAACGCUGGCGGCGUGCUUAACACAUGCAAGUCGAACGGAAAGGCCCUGCUUUUGUGGGGUGCUCGAGUGGCGAACGGGUGAGUAACACGUGAGUAACCUGCCCUUGACUUUGGGAUAACUUCAGGAAACUGGGGCUAAUACCGGAUAGGAGCUCCUGCUGCAUGGUGGGGGUUGGAAAGUUUCGGCGGUUGGGGAUGGACUCGCGGCUUAUCAGCUUGUUGGUGGGGUAGUGGCUUACCAAGGCUUUGGCGGGUAGCCGGCCUGAGAGGGUGACCGGCCACAUUGGGACUGAGAUACGGCCCAGACUCCUACGGGAGGCAGCAGUGGGGAAUAUUGCACAAUGGGCGGAAGCCUGAUGCAGCAACGCCGCGUGCGGGAUGACGGCCUUCGGGUUGUAAACCGCUUUCGCCUGUGACGAAGCGUGAGUGACGGUAAUGGGCAAAGAAGCACCGGCUAACUACGUG
rnacentral:rRNA from 1 species